rnacentral:misc_RNA from 1 species
AACGCACAUUGCGCCCGUCAGUAUUCUGGCGGGCAUGCCUGUCUGAGCGUCAUUUCAACCCUCAAGCCCCAUGGGCUUGGUGUUGGGGAUCGGCCCUAACCGGCUGUCCCCUAAAUCUAUUGGCGGUCUCGCUGUAGCUUCCUAUGCGUAGUAGCAAUAUCUCGCAUCUGGAGAGCGGCGCGGCCACGCCGUAAAACCCCAACUUCUCAAGGUUGACCUCAGAUCAGGUAGGAAUACCCGCUGAACUUAA